rnacentral:tRNA from 1 species
GGUUGUGGCUCAGUGGUACAGCGCUUACCUGUUGUGCAUGAGGCAUUGGGUUCAAUCCUCAGCACCA